GGCCGGAACCCCCAAUGUAUAUAAAGUUGCUUAUGAGGAGAUGCGCUUACAAAACCGGCGAAACAUAUUGUACCGGUCCAACGGACGAACGGAAAGACGGACUUCUUUAUCACUAUAACCCCCGCUUAACAAAGUGGUGUACAAUUGAGUGUCAAAGAGACAGCUCUACAUCUUAAACAAAGUGAAGGAACUGUGAUCAAUUAU
rnacentral:lncRNA from 1 species